rnacentral:rRNA from 1 species
UGGGGAAUCUUGCGCAAUGGGCGAAAGCCUGACGCAGCAACGCCGCGUGCGGGAUGACGGCCCUCGGGUUGUAAACCGCUUUCAGUGGGGACGAACCAAGACGGUACCCACAGAAGAAGGUCCGGCCAACUACGUGCCAGCAGCCGCGGUAACACGUAGGGACCAAGCGUUGUCCGGAUUCAUUGGGCGUAAAGAGCUCGUAGGCGGUUCGAUAAGUCGGGUGUGAAACCUCCAGGCUCAACCUGGAGACGCCACCCGAUACUGUCGUGACUAGAGUCCAGUAGGGGAGCGUGGAAUUCCUGGUGUAGCGGUGAAAUGCGCAGAUAUCAGGAGGAACACCAGCGGCGAAGGCGGCGCUCUGGGCUGGAACUGACGCUGAGGAGCGAAAGCGUGGGGAGCGAACAGG